GACGAACGCUGGCGGCGUGCUUAACACAUGCAAGUCGAACGGAAAGGCCCUGCUUUUGUGGGGUGCUCGAGUGGCGAACGGGUGAGUAACACGUGAGUAACCUGCCCUUUACUUUGGGAUAACUUCAGGAAACUGGGGCUAAUACCGGAUAGGAGCUCCUGCUGCAUGGUGGUGGUUGGAAAGUUUCGGCGGUUGGGGAUGGACUCGCGGCUUAUCAGCUUGUUGGUGGUGUAGUGGCUUACCAAGGCUUUGACGGGUAGCCGGCCUGAGAGGGUGACCGGCGACAUUGGGACUGAGAUACGGACCAGAAUGCUACGGGAGGCAGCAGUGGGGAAUAUUGCACAAUGGGAGGAAGCCUGAUGCAGAAACGCCGCGUGCGGGAUGACGGCCUUCGGGUUGUAAACCGCUUUCGCAUGUGACGAAGCGUGAGUGACGGUAAUGGGUAAAGAUGCACCGGCUAACUACGUG
rnacentral:rRNA from 1 species